GUGCUAAAUUUGGCAGCACAUAGACUAAAACUGGAAGGGUACAGACAGGAUUAGCAUGGCUCCUGCGCAAGGGUGACACACAAAUUUGUUAAGCGCGCCAUAUUUUU